GCCCUUAUGGGCUGGGCUACACACGUGCUACAAUGGCGGUGACAGAGGGGAGCGAGACCGCGAGGUGGAGCCAAUCCCCAAAAACCGUCUCAGUUCGGAUUGUACUCUGCAACUCGAGUGCAUGAAGGCGGAAUCGCUAGUAAUCGCGGAUCAGCAUGCCGCGGUGAAUACGUUCCCGGGCCUUGUACACACCGCCCGUCACACCAUGGGAGUUGGUUCUACCCGACGACGCUGCGCUAACCUUCGGGAGGCAGGCGGCCACGGUAGGAUCAGCGACUGGGGUGAAGUCGUAACAAGGUAGCCGUAGGGG
rnacentral:rRNA from 1 species